UACGGGGGGGGCAAGCGUUGUUCGGAAUUACUGGGCGUAAAGGGCUCGUAGGCGGCCAACUAAGUCGGACGUGAAAUCCCUCAGCUUAACUGGGGAACUGCGUCCGAUACUGGAUGGCUUGGAUUUGGGAGAGGGAUGCGGAAUUCCAGGUGUAGCGGUGAAAUGCGCAGAUAUCAGGAAGAACACCCGUGGCGAAGGCGGCUUUCUGGGACGGUACUGACGCUGAGACGCGAAAGCGUGGGGAGCGAACAGG
rnacentral:rRNA from 1 species